GUGAUUUAUGUGAGAGUGCCAGUGGUGUGUGUGAGUGAGUUUGAAUAUAGUGUGUAUAAUAUAAUCUUGUGAGUCUUGUGGUUCUUGUCCACAUGAACAAUGCUAAUUAAAUGUAUUUUAGAAGGUUACAUUUUAUGACAUUUGUAUAACAGUCACAUGCUAACUGCUAACCGCUCACUAUCUUAGAGGUAGAUACCAUGCAAUUUCGCCUUAGCUUUGUUGAUCUUCUGUUGUUGUUUUCUUUCCAUUGGUUUUUGUAACAUUGAAUACACAUGCCUAAAAGGGAUUUUAAUGUAUUUGAGAAUUUGUUUUGUUUCCAUAUGCUGAAUGGAGAGAAUAAACUGUGCAGACCCGAGGAUGUGCAAAUUACAGAAGAGAUGAACAAGCCUUGGAAUUGUGUGGGUCAACGCUAGAAACAUUGGAGAUGCAAACAGAUGGUGCCUGAAAUCUUAAUGAUAGAAGCAUUAUUUUUUGAAUUUUUGAUGCAUUACUUUUGGUAAUGUACAUUUCUUUCAAAUUUGAUUCACCAUUUCCUUUUUCUUUAAAGAUGUGAAGAUAUAAGAUAGCUUCAUGACUUAGUAAGCUUUGACAGUCAUGUUUGUUUCUAAUUACUUCAAUAGCUCUCUUCAAAUGUGUCUGUCCCCUUUUGUUUCUAUAGGCUUGAGAGAGAAUGUGCUGUGCAUCAUUGGAAGGUCAUAACAUAAUUGAUAGCAGAAAUGAACAAGGCUUGCUAAGAAUUUUGUCCAAGGAAAUAUACUAAAUAAAUAUACUGCAAUCCUUUUUCAGAACAAUGUAUGUCACUUUAAAUUCAAAAUUGCUGAUCUGCAAUUAAUAAUUACCCCUAAUUACUCAUUCCCCUGUCCACAGCAACAUCGAUGGUGCUAACUGAUGGGUGCCUGCCUGAUGUCUGAGGUUCAGUGAGGCUCAGUGUCAGUAUUGAAGAUGUGAAACUAGAUGGAACACCCCACUAGAUGCAAUCAUUCAGUUGCAGAAUUAUUUUAAAUAAAACAUUUACAUAUUAAGGGGUAAUUAAGUGUUUAUUUAUGUUACAUUUAAUUGAACUGCAUGUCAUAUAUAUAUUGUG